CUUCAGGUUGUGAGGUUUCUGCCAACAUCAAAGAGAAGAUUUCAGCUGCAAAAACUGAUAUUGUCAUUGUACCCUUAAAGCAGUCCCCAUGGAGUAAAAAGUGGGAGGCAUUCAAAGAGAAGCUUUAAAGUCAUCCUACAUUCAAGCGUAUCAGCGGGUUUAGUGAACCUGUUGUCACAAAGAGUCAGGAG